rnacentral:lncRNA from 1 species
GCUUAUCGGAGUGUGGUGCAGACUCCAACCCCAUAAUGCACUUGGAUGCAUAUGGGAUAGAAACCAGCAGCUUAUUCACAGCCAGACAUACUUUCAAACUGUCCAAUGUGCCAAACACACCUCUAGAAACUACAUAUGCUAAACUUCACGGCCUCUCCUCUAAGUUGCUGCAAGUGAGCAAUUUGGCAAAGCUUUUUGACCUUUAAAAGCUUAACAUGCUUCCAAUACGUGCCGAGGAGGCUCGGGGUUCCCUAGUAAGGGCCCUGCAGGAGGAUCACAUGCUAAGAUGUGGCAACCAAGUCCCCUUCUCUUGGCAAUGGUCACAUACUUCUUCCUGAACAGAAAGGGAUCCUGGGUCUCAGCAAGUACUCACACAGGAAUCCUCAGCUAAGGAUAUGUUUCCAGAAACCCCCUCCCAACAAUCCUCCCCCAAACCCUUGGGCAGGUAUGGCAGUGGUAUAGUAUGAGGCUAGUGACCAAGUCAGUGGACACAUGCAUGGCCCAGGUAACGUGACUGUGAUCCUCCUGUCAUUGGGGCAGGACAGAGGGUCCUGAGCACACAGGGAGAGAGCCAUUCCUGCCAACUGUGCCCUCCACACCCAGCCAGGACAGACAGACACAGGUUCAGUACCUCCAGAGAUCCACAGAAAGCAAAUCCUAGGCCACUGUCAGGCUACAUGCUGUCAACCUUUAGUGUCACUUUCCAUGAAUAAAACACACAACAGUAUAUCCAAAACAGAACUGAUCUGCCUCCCUGGACAACUCCAGGAUGGGGUGACACAAGCUAGGACUCCUGGUUUUGGAAAAAGCCCCUACUUCGUGAAGCAACUCUGUAUUAGAGCACCAGCAACUGACCCCAGUCCUGGGCUGCACCCAGCACCCUCCACCCAGGAGCAAACCUCACCAACAUUCCUGCACUCACCUUCACAACUAGGUCCCCUUAUUUUUCCCACCCUACAGAUGGGGAGAUGGAGGCUCAGAAGGCAGUGACGGUGCAGCAAGCCUGGGCCAGGGUAGCAGGCUCUGAAACCUAUGCUACGGCCAUCAUUGAGGGCCCCAGAAUGUACCAGGGACCAUGCCGGGUAGGACUCUAGGCCCUAUGGUGCAGUGGGUCCACCAUGAGGAUCCUGCCUCCCUGCCCCCCUGCACUGGAAACAGCCCCCCACUCUCAUAGCAAGAUGAGGCCUCUCUAGAGAUGUUCUGAGGGCCCC